rnacentral:rRNA from 1 species
GACGAACCGUGCGAACGUUGUUCGGAAUCACUGGGCUUAAAGGGCGCGUAGGCGGACCACAAAGUCGGGGGUGAAAUCUUUCAGCCCAACUGGAAAAGGGCUUCCGAUACUGGUGGUCUCGAGGGAGGUAGGGGUCGAGGGAACUAAUGGUGGAGCGGUGAAAUGCGUAGAUAUCAUUAGGAACGCCGGUGGCGAAGGCGGCGUCACUGGACCGGAACUGACGCUGAGAAGCGAAAGCGUGGGGAGCAAACAGG